ACAGCAUAAAAGCCUGCUCUACUCCAGGCUCUGCAUCUUCCUCUCUUGCUUCCCUUUCCUCUAAGAACAAGCUUUGCCUCGCUCACCGAGAGAUGUCUUGCUUCAGACCAUGUCCCCCACGCCCCUGCGGCACCUGUGGCCCAACGCCACUUGCAAGCAGCUGCAGUGAGCCCUGUGUCGCCCGCUGUGCUGACUCGACCAUUGCCAUUGAGGCUUCCCCGGUGUUGGUGACCCUGCCGGGCCCCAUCCUCACCUCUUUCCCGCAGAGCACAGCCGUGGGAUCCUCUCUGUCAGCUGCGGUUGGGAGCGCCCUCAGCACUGGUGGGGUUCCCAUCUCUUCUGGGGGCUCCCUUGGUCUGGGGGGGUCAGGCCUGUGUCUGCCUCCCCCUCGCUGCAGUUUCAACUGCUGAAGCUGGCAGAUCAUCCACAUUGGAGCCAGAAGGAAGAUGUGCACCCUGUAUGAGCAGGAACAUGGCCACGGUUUCCAGAUGAGCUGGGUGUCCUCUUCCCACCUGCCAAUAUGGUGCUGUGCCUCCUGCUUUUCACUGCAGGGCAGGCCUUGCUCUACCUUCUCUGGCUCUGCUUAGCCCUGAGCCCCUGAGAGAAAGGGCUCCUUCUCUUUGGCUUUACUGAACCUCCUACUGGUGUGGGGGGAGUUGCGGAAUCAGGGACUGCUCUUGGUGGCCUGGGAAUACCACCAGGUGGAGCAGAAUGGGAAAAGUGAACCGCUUUGUGUCCAACUUGUCCUUUGGAAACUGGUGGUUCUCUGUGCCUCCCUGAACCCUGCAGACAUCUUUCUUGGUCUCUGUUCUGUGCCCCUGCAUUUGCUCCUUCUGAUUAAAGACUGUGUGCAGCAUA